UACGUAGGGUGCGAGCGUUGUCCGGAAUUACUGGGCGUAAAGAGCUCGUAGGUGGUUUGUCGCGUUGUCCGUGAAAACUCACAGCUUAACUGUGGGCGUGCGGGCGAUACGGGCAGACUGGAGUACUGCAGGGGAGACUGGAAUUCCUGGUGUAGCGGUGGAAUGCGCAGAUAUCAGGAGGAACACCGGUGGCGAGGGCGGGUCUCUGGGCAGUAACUGACGCUGAGGAGCGAAAGCGUGGGGAGCGAACAGG
rnacentral:rRNA from 1 species